rnacentral:rRNA from 1 species
UACAGAGGGCUCAAGCGUUGUUCGGAUUCAUUGGGCGUAAAGGGUGCGUAGGCGGCGUGGUAAGUCGGGUGUGAAAUCUCGGAGCUUAACUCCGAAACUGCAUUCGAUACUGCCGUGCUUGAGGACUGGAGAGGAGACUGGAAUUUACGGUGUAGCGGUGAAAUGCGUAGAUAUCGUAAGGAAGACCAGUGGCGAAGGCGGGUCUCUGGACAGUUCCUGACGCUGAGGCGCGAAGGUCAGGGGAGCAAACGGG